UUUUUUUUUUUUUUUUUGAUAACUCGGAACAUACCCCGUUUCGAACCACUUAAGACCCUAGCCGAUACACUAAACUGGAGGAGUACACCACGGCCUUACGCAACGCACCUCAGGCGAGUCACGGGGAUUCAAGUCCAGGGUAAGAUUCGAACCCAGGGCCAAAGAAGUCCUUAAGAGUUCGCUUACCACUGGACCACCCCCGUGGGGCGCCUCCAAUAUUGCUCCUUGAGAUGAUGUUAAGACUUUUCUAUCACCAACUCCUAUGUAACGUAAUUUAGUAGAUUUUGUUUUGUUUUGUUUGUUCUUUUUUUCUUUUUUUUGGUAGGAAUUCACUACAUACAUACAUCGAAAUAUCCUAUUUUCUGUUUUAUUGUUAGAUCUCCUACAUCAUUUUUGCUUAUAUGACUAUUCAUUAAUACUUAAAUUUGCAUCCCUCAAUAUUUUAAGCCUCUUUACUUGGUUUUUAAGGCAGAAAGUAAAAAAAAAAAAAGAAAAAAAAGAAAUGAGAGUUUUCUCGGAAGGAAAAAACGAAUUUCUAUGAAGAUGUGGAACUAAAGAAAGUGACUAGGCUUGGAGAUUUGGUUUCUUACUCUAGAAACCAUUGUAAUUUUCCUACAUUGCAAUUUUAGCGUUAUAACAACUUAUUAUUUGUUUCCUUAACUAUUGCAAAUUACCAUUGCACUAAAAUGGUGUGACUCUCUGAUAUGUAAAAGCAACUUCUCGUAAGACUAUUUCAAAUAGCAAAACGUUUAGUGUUGGAAGGCUCCAACAUUUUGGACUAGUUUUGGAACUAUGAACUAAUAUUGGAUUUACCAUUAUUUUGUUGGUUCUGUUUAGUAGUAGUUUAGUGUUGGAAGGCUCCAACAUUUUGGACUAGUUUUGGAACUAUGAACUAAAAUUGGAUUUACCAUUAUUUUGUUGGUUCUGUUUGGAAUUUGGUAGCAAAUUCACUUGUUUAGUAGUAGUAAAGCGGGUAAAGGUUGUCCAUUUGCCAAUUGAGAAUUUACCAUAUAUUAUCGCAACUGUUAAUGGGAAGAGUAUUGCAACAUAAGAGAGUCUAGAUGAAACUUUUUCAAACCUCAAUAGAUCCAACUGAUUUUUGACCCAAAAGAGUCUUAUCGAAUAAAAAUUUCAUCUUCCAUUCUUUUUGCUUUUCCUGCGUCCACAGUUUCUCUGGAUGCAAAGUCUGCAAAUGUAAGUUAUCUAUUGGGAAGGCUGAAAUUUCUGACUGCACAAAACACUUGAAAACUUAUGUUAUAUCCCAUCUUAACUUUACUUUUACAUUCAAAAAGAAUUUACGAAUCUUAAAGCACCAUGAUUUAGCAAUUAAAUCUUUCAAGUACAAUGUAGGUGAAUAAUUUAUACCUUAACUGUGCUUAUAGGUGAGGCUGUCUGCAAGGAUUUAGUGAUUGAUAUCCACAGUGCAAUGCAUCAUGAGCAAGGUAACAAAAGAAAGUAGAAAAAGAAGAGCUAAUGCUUAUUCACUUGAUGCCAUGUAGAUUCGUUUUGAGAAAAUUUUAGUUUCAAGUAUAAACUAGAACCAGACAUAGAGGCAAACUGGAAAGCACUUAAGAAACUUAAAGCUUCAAAAGAGUGUCACAAGAUGCAAGGAGAUUAUGCAAUUUUUACAGAGUAUCCUGAACAGAAAAGCAAAGGAAAACUAGUUACAAGCAUUACUGAGGUAGAAUUAGAUCCUGGAAGGAAUCAAGGGAGUGGUGUUCUGUAGGUAUGCACAAGCAGCUCCCACUCCACUACCUAGCUUAACAGGGUAACCAACAUCCUUGAGUACCAUCUCCA
rnacentral:lncRNA from 1 species